CGCGGUAAUUCCAGCUCCAAUAGCGUAUACUAAAGUGUUGCAGUUAAAAAGCUCGUAGUUGGAUUUCUGGCGGGGACGGCUGGUCGGUCUCGAAAGGGGCUGUACUGUUGUUGGUUCCCGUCAUCCUUGGGGAGAGCGGCUCUUACAUUAAGUUGUCGGCGUCGGGAUCCCUAUCUUUUACUGUGAAAAAAUUAGAGUGUUCAAAGCAGGCUUAGGCCCUGAAUACAUUAGCAUGGAAUAAUAAGAUACGACCUUGGUGGUCUAUUUUGUUGGUUUGCACGCCAAGGUAAUGAUUAAUAGGGAUAGUUGGGGGUAUUCGUAUUCAAUUGUCAGAGGUGAAAUUCUUGGAUUUAUGGAAGACGAACUACUGCGAAAGCAUUUACCAAGGAUGUUUUCAUUAAUCAAGAACGAAAGUUAGGGGAUCGAAGAUGAUUAGAUACCAUCGUGGUCUUAACCAUAAACUAUGCCGACUAGGGAUCGGUGGGUGCAUUUUUAGGCCUCAUCGGCACCUUAUGAGAAAUCAAAGUCUUUGGGUUCCGGGGGGAGUAUGGUCGCAAGGCUGAAACUUAAAGAAAUUGACGG
rnacentral:rRNA from 1 species